AACAAGUACUAAACAUGCGGUCCUGGUCAACGUAUCUGUCCUAGCAUACGGUCAAGAAAGUACAAAACCUGCGUUGAAAAUCCUGGACAAUUCGCAGGGCCAAGUUCAACAAUACGUAAUGGAAUAUUGGGAUUGGACUGAACAGUGCGCCUUGUUUUUCGGCCCAGGGUGGCGAUGUCAACAGUAUGUGUGGAGUGGAAACGUCCAAGAUUCGCCUGUAUGUGACGCUGCGUACGCCGAAACUUGUAAAGGUACGCGCCACCAGAUUUACCAAAUAGAC